GUGGGGAAUUUUGGACAAUGGGGGCAACCCUGAUCCAGCCAUGCCGCGUGCAGGAUGAAGGUCUUCGGAUUGUAAACUGCUUUUGUCAGGGACGAAAAGGGAUGCGAUAACACCGCAUUCCGCUGACGGUACCUGAAGAAUAAGCACCGGCUAACUACGUGCCAGCAGCCGCGGUAAUACGUAGGGUGCAAGCGUUAAUCGGAAUUACUGGGCGUAAAGCGUGCGCAGGCGGUUCUGUAAGAUAGAUGUGAAAUCCCCGGGCUCAACCUGGGAAUUGCAUAUAUGACUGCAGGACUUGAGUUUGUCAGAGGAGGGUGGAAUUCCACGUGUAGCAGUGAAAUGCGUAGAUAUGUGGAAGAACACCGAUGGCGAAGGCAGCCCUCUGGGACAUGACUGACGCUCAUGCACGAAAGCGUGGGGAGCAAACAGGAUUAGAAACCCGAGUAGUCC
rnacentral:rRNA from 1 species